rnacentral:snRNA from 1 species
UUGCUCACUUCAGCAGCAAAUAUACUAAAAUUGGAAUGAUACAGAGAAGAUUAGCGUGGCCCCUGCGCAAGGAUGACACAAAAAUUCAUGACGCAUUUUU